GUUGUCCGGAUUUAUUGGGCGUAAAGCGAGCGCAGGCGGUUAGAUAAGUCUGAAGUUAAAGGCUGUGGCUUAACCAUAGUACGCUUUGGAAACUGUUUAACUUGAGUGCAAGAGGGGAGAGUGGAAUUCCAUGUGUAGCGGUGAAAUGCGUAGAUAUAUGGAGGAACACCGGUGGCGAAAGCGGCUCUCUGGCUUGUAACUGACGCUGAGGCUCGAAAGCAUGGGGAGCGAACAGGAUUAGAUACCCUGGUAGUCCAUGCCGUAAACGUUGGGCACUAGGUGUGGGGAACAUUCCACGUUUUCCGCGCCGUAGCUAACGCAUUAAGUGCCCCGCCUGGGGAGUACGGCCGCAAGGCUAAAACUCAAAGAAAUUGACGGGGGCCCGCACAAGCGGCGGAGCAUGCGGAUUAAUUCGAUGCAACGCGAAGAACCUUACCAAGGCUUGACAUAUACUGGACCGCAUCAGAGAUGGUGUUUCCCUUCGGGGCUGGUAUACAGGUGGUGCAUGGUUGUCGUCAGCUCGUGUCGUGAGAAG
rnacentral:rRNA from 1 species